AUUGCAGACGCAGCGGCGGCCAUGUUGGGUGUGGGCAGUUUGGCGUGGAAAUUCCGGAGAGGAAGUGGGCAAGCCAUAGAGAGGAAGUGGGCUGCAAUUCCUUUGUAUUCAGUAUAGAGGGGUGCUGAGAGGAAGGGGCCGAGUCCUCUUCUUUACUGUUCUGCUGAGGAUGGACAAGGAGAGGAUCAAGAUCACUGAGAGGAUCCUAAACCUCACCUUGGAGAUCGUCUGCCUGCUGACCGGAGAGAGUUUGCCUCCUGUGAAGUCCGGUGAUAAUGUGACCAUCAAGGUGCCCCCACUGCAUUCGUUGAUACCUGAGAGAAAGGACAAGAAGAUCCUAGAAGUCAC